GGUGUAUAAAUUCAGUUGGUUAGAGUGUGGUGCUGACAACGGCAAGCUUGCAGGUUUGAUCCAGCUGCAUAUUCCU